rnacentral:rRNA from 1 species
AUUGAACGCUGGCGGCAGGCCUAACACAUGCAAGUCGAACGGUAGCACAGAGAGCUUGCUCUCGGGUGACGAGUGGCGGACGGGUGAGUAACGUCUGGGAAACUGCCCGAUGGAGGGGGAUAACUACUGGAAACGGUAGCUAAUACCGCAUAACGUCGCAAGACCAAAGUGGGGGACCUUCGGGCCUCACACCAUCGGAUGUGCCCAGAUGGGAUUAGCUAGUAGGUGGGGUAAUGGCUCACCUAGGCGACGAUCCCUAGCUGGUCUGAGAGGAUGACCAGCCACACGGGAACGGAGACACGGUCCAGACUCCUACGGGAGGCAGCAGUGGGGAAUAUUGCACAAUGGGCGCAAGCCUGAUGCAGCCAUGCCGCGUGUAUGAAGAAGGCCUUCGGGUUGUAAAGUACUUUCAGCGGGGAGGAAGGCGGUGAAGUUAAUAACUUCACCGAUUGACGUUACCCGCAGAAGAAGCACCGGCUAACUCCGUGCCAGCAGCCGCCGUAA